CUGUGGAGGAGCAUGAACCAGUAGAAGAAGUAGAGGAGCUUGUACCAGUAGAAGAAGAAGUAGAGGAGCUUGUACCAGUAGAAGAAGAAGUAGAGGAACCUGAACAAGUGGAGGAACCUGAAGCAACAGAACCAGUGGAAGAUGUAGAAACACCCGAAGAGAUAGUUGAGGAAUCAGUCUCUGUAGAAGAAGCUGGAACAGAAGAGGAAGUUAUAGAGGAAACAGAUGAGCCAUUUCGGGAAGAUGAGGAAGAACAAGACUCCACAUCGGAGGAAACAGAGCUUGAGGCAGAGAAUAUGGAAGAAGAGGAGGAGGAUGCAGCUGCUGAGGAAGAGCAGCCUGAGGAGGACGUAGCAGAGGAAAUUAACCAAACAGAAGAACAAAUUGAAGUAGAGCCCACAGAAACAUAAAACAUUAGGCAGUAUGUAAGAUACGGAGAGGACCAGCACCACAUGGCAUUCCACUGGAAGUGUGCAGCUGCCAAUUCCCACCAUGGAGUUAAAAAAAAGAGAACGCUACUAUUUCCCUUUUCAUUUUCUUUCUUUUUUUUUGACAUUCAAGCCUGUUUGUUAAUUGAUAAUGCAGUCUCUUUGUGUACAAGUACACAAUUAUUUGAAUGUUUUGUCAACUUUUGUUUGGUGGUUUGACCCUUUUUCCUUUUCGAAUCCCUUUUUUGUAAUUACAGACAAAGCUUUUUUCCUAUCCUCUAACAUAGAUGUGAAGUAGCCUUUUUUUGAAUGAUCAUGGAUGAUAGUUUGGUUGUAGUUUCCUAUCCUGUGUGUACAAACACCUUCAUGUUGCUUUGUAGCUCAGAGAUCUUCACAUUCUACUCGGCUCUGAAUUCAUCAGUGUUUCUCUCGUCAUCAAAUCUGACGUUUUGCUUUAAUGUGAAGGUACUAUGCAAAGCUGCACUGAUCUUUCGCUAUUUUUACCCUUAGGUUUUGUACUACCAAUAUGUAUUGAGUCUACAUUUCCAAUGUUGCAUAUCAAGGACAAGUUUAUGCUGGCAGGUUAACCAAGAUAAUUGCUGUGUGAUCUGUGUAUGGAGCGAAUGGGCGUGCAUGUGCAUGUAUGUGUGUGUCUAUUUGAAAAUUCUUGUUUAACUAUGCGAAACAAUAAUUUGAGCCAUCUCACUAGUAUGUUUUCAUGGUGUUUUCUUAUGUGUGUUCUAGCGUAAAGUCAACGUAUUAGUACCUCUGAUGAUAUUUUCCUCAAUACUGUAGCUGAUAUGCUAAGAGCUCAGAGAACUGUUUUUUGCAUUUCUUCACAUUUUUAAACUCUGAUGCAUAGCAUUGCCCCAUCCCAUUUUUUAUUUACACUUUUACCUUUUUCAGUAAGUCCUGUUUCAUAGGCUCAUGAUUUAACAAGCUCUGUUUCAGGUAGACACUCCAGCUGCUGUGCAGUAUGCGUAUGACAAACAGUGUUGUUUAAUGGGUGUCUUAUGUAAUAACUGGUGAAGGAUGCCCACAUAAAUAUGGAAUAACCAACUUUACACCAUGUUUAGUUUUUAUAGCAGGGUAAAGAUCUUACCUAGUGCUUUUGUGGGACAUCACAAAUCAGUAUAUGCUUAUUAAUUUGUCAAAUGUGACCCUGGACCACAAAACCAGUCAUAAGGGUCAAUUUUUCGAAAUUAGCCUUCCUAAUACGAUGUGACAUUUAACUCCUUAAAGUGACUUGCAGGAGUAUUUUCUUUUUACCUUUGUAAUGGCAUCAUUUUCAUCUGUCAAAUUCAAAAAUUUAUGUUUAUAAUCUUUUUAAAAUUUCUAUUUAAAACAAUAUGUAGAAUAAAACAAAUAAGUUACCAAUCAUAUGAAAUUAGUAUUAAUAAAUUAAUUUGUACUACAGAGGUGGCAGCAAGUCACUGAUUUUAUCACUGAAUCACUCAUUCAUUCAAUUGAUUUGUUCGAAUGGCUGAAUCAUUCAGGAAUGAAGCAAGUGACUGUCUUUAUGAACUGACGGAAAUCUGUUGUAGCGACAGCAACUUUAAUCCCUGCAACUAUUCAAAAAUCUGGAAUCUGAGGGUGCAAAAAAUCCAAAUAUUGAGAAAAUCGCCUUUAAAGUUGUCCAAAUGAAGUUCUUAGCAAUGCAUAUCACUAAUCAAAAAUUAAGUUUUAAUAUAUUUACAGUAGGAAGUUUACAAAAUAUCUUCAUGUAACAUGAUCUUUACUUAAUAUGCUAAUGAUUUUUGGCAUAAAAGAAAAAUCUAUAAUUUUGACCCAUACAAUGUGUUUUUGGCUAUUGCUACAAAUAUACCCCAGCGACUUAAGACUGGUUUUGUGGUCCAGGGUCACAAAUAUAAUGCACUGCCUAUGUAUUGACUUUACAGUGCAUUUAUUCGGGCCCUUUCAAUUGUUGCAGGCACAUCUGUAAGAAAACGAUACAAUUUUGUUGUUGUACAUUCAGAAAAAAGAUGACUUUAAUAUCAUAGCAAGUCAAAAGUUGUUUGUAUUUACUAUUAAUGUUGUCAUGGUUUUUAUUACAACACAAUGUAGCUUUCACCCUUGAUGCAGAGUAGUUGGUUAAGAAAUUGAAAACUUGCUUGAUCUUUUGAAGGAAACCCAAUCCUGGCUCCUGAAUGGUUUCACUGUGGAAUAUAUAUGGUUUUUUCAUUGUAAUGUUGUUACACUGUGGUUUUAUGGGGCCUGCCAGAAUAGAUGUUGUUUUUGUGAUCGACUUUAGGAAAUGCUGCAGAUCUCUUCAAAACAAUGGUUUCAUAAAAUAUACAGGUGGCUGAAAUAUAGUUUUUAGGGUUUCUUUUACUUUUUCUACAACACUAGAGGGUGUUUUGGACCCCUAACACUUUUGAAGUCAAUGUGAAUUUUUAAAGUGGUAUUAAUUUUGCAAAGUAAAGAACUUUUUUUCUUUCUUUUUUUUAGGAUUUUUAAGGAUUUUUUUUAAUUUAGGAUUUGACAUUUUAUAGUCAAAUUGAAUAAAUUUUAUGAAAGUGUUAACUUCUCAAAGCCAUAUGUGAAAGGUUGGAUAUAGCAGCCUUAGUACAGGUUGUGUUUCAAAGGACAGACAUCUCACAACCAGCAAUAACACCAUGCCUGAAGGGAGCAUUUCUUAAUGCAAUCCAGAUAUAACCCGAGGUUUUCUCAAGGCUUUCUAUCCAGAGGUUUACAUGAAAUCCUGCUGUAUAGGCUAACUCAUUGUAAGUUAUUGAGGCAAUGCAAUUUUAGGGAGUUUUGGGUGACUUUUCACAGAUGUGUAAACGACUGUAAAUGUUUUGUUUGAGUGCUUCAAUAAAGGUUGGGUACAACAAGAUCACAUUGUAUUCAUCCUUUUUCUUUUAGUUUAGGAAGACAUCCAUUCC
ensembl:lncRNA